rnacentral:rRNA from 1 species
GGUGAACGCUGGCGGCGUGCCUAAGACAUGCAAGUCGAGCGGGCCGCGGGGUUUUACUCCGUGGUCAGCGGCGGACGGGUGAGUAACGCGUGGGUGACCUACCCGGAAGAGGGGGACAACCCGGGGAAACUCGGGCUAAUCCCCCAUGUGGACCCGCCCCUUGGGGUGUGUCCAAAGGGCUUUGCCCGCUUCCGGAUGGGCCCGCGUCCCAUCAGCUAGUUGGUGGGGUAAUGGCCCACCAAGGCGACGACGGGUAGCCGGCCUGAGAGGGUGGCCGGCCACAGGGGCACCGAGACACGGGCCCCACUCCUACGGGAGGCAGCAGUUAGGAAUCUUCCGCAAUGGGCGCAAGCCUGACGGAGCGACGCCGCUUGGAGGAAGAAGCCCUUCGGGGUGUAAACUCCUGAACCCGGGACGAAACCCCCGACGAGGGGACUGACGGUACCGGGGUAAUAGCGCCGGCCAACUCCGUG